CCUUGCCAGUGGCCAGCGAAGCAGGAGAGGAGGGGGAGCUGAGAGCCUCAAGCCACGUCAACUUAAGGAACAGACUCUGGCAGAAGGGCUGGGGAAGAGAUACUGAUGGAAACAGCCAGGGCAGAGCCCGGCUCCAAUCCAUCAAUCUCACAAAUAUGUAUUGAGGGGCACUGCCUCUGUGGCAGGCGCUAGGUGUGAGAGGCACACAGCCUUUACCCUCGGAGAGCUCAGAGUCUAGUGGGGGAGCCAGAAGUAAACACAAUAGUCCUUCCAUUAGAGUGGGAGGCGAGCCAGGUGAGAAGUACAAGAUACUGUGAGAGCUGACAACCUCAUGGGGGUAGGGGAUCAGGAAACCCUCCCUCGGAGAGGAGGACAAUGGCACUCUGCGGCCUGUCGUAACACACAAAGGACCUGCACUGUAACUCGAGACCCUCACCACACCGUACCCACCCGUAUUCCUUUGCUACAGCUGCCAUAACAAACCACCACAAAGUGCGUGGCGUAAACAGCAAAAAUUUGUUUUCUUGUGCUUCUGGAGGCUGGAAGGCUGAGACCAAGGUGUCGGCAGGGUUGGCUCCUCCUGAGGCCUCUUUCCUUGGUUUGCAGAUGAGCGUCUUCUCCCUGUGUCUUCUGUACCUAUGUCUUUGUUCAAAUUUUCCCUUCUUACAAGGGCACCAGUUAUAUUGGACGAUGGCCCUCGCUAAGGACCUCAUUUUACCUCUUUAAAGACCUUUUCUCCCAAUACAGUCACAUUCUGGUUACGGAGGAUUACAACUUCCAUAAAUGAAUUUUGGGAAGGAUAAUUCAGCCCACAACGCCAUCAUUUUCCACAACUACUGUGAGGCCCCUAGUUAGCCACUUUCUCCCCCAAGGCGCACAGCAACCAGGGGCCUUUUGUCCUCUAAAUCUACCGUAUUAAGUGCCUGGUUGACUCAGACUUGGACCCGCUCCUGUCAGAUGAGAGGGAUGAUGAAGCCCUGCGUCUGGCUCUUGAAGCAAAUGCCUCAUCAUGCGUCUUCUCCUCAAAAAGCUGCCUGUUGAUUAGAGUCUUGGAACAGUGUCUUUCCACAGCUUGUCGGCCCUGCUCACUGGCCUCAUGCCCAAGGACAGGCAACAGGUACAUGAAGAGACAGCAGAAGCAAUUUUGUGCCACCCAAGGAUGAUCUCAAUCCUGGAGUCCACCCAUACAGCAAACAGAUGGGCCAUAUGAGGACUGAGAGCUCAUGAGAUUGCUUGGAGCUGAGCAAGUGGGGAUUGCUGCAGGGAGGGCCAGGGCAAGAAAUGCCUACUGUGCCUAGCUGAUAAGUCUAAAAGGACGUAGGCCCAGUGGAGGCCAAAGCUGAGCCAUAUUCGGGUUUAUAGAGCAUUUGUGGAAAUUAGAGCUUAAUAAUAUAUAUUAAGGACUGUUGUGCAACAACCACAAUGAAAUAUUCAUCCCACUCAUAAGAUUCAGAGGAAUAAAAUAAACGUCCCCCAGGGACAACCUGCAAUGUUGGAGAAAUGUUAAUGGCGCCUUCCGAUCUCAGAAAGUACUCUGCAGUCUUAAAAUAGAACAACCUAAAGGUGACAGUGAUCUUCUGAGAAGGGGCAAAAGGAGGGGACACGGCAUAGGGAUUCCGAAUACCUGAUAACAGAGCCCCAGCCGUCCCUGGGAGAAGAGCCAACCACCAAGGUCAGGCCAUGGAUCUCAAAACAGCCCUGAGGAUAGCUGUGCCUCCGAGAUCAGAGGUGCCUGGGUCUAUGACUGAUUUCUGAAAACCGAACGCCUGGCACAAGGAAAGGCUUCAACAAUCUCACCAUAGCCAGUCUCAGACAUGCUAUUUUGAAGAAAAGAAGCUAAACUGCCCUGGGGUGACUCAGCUGAAGCUUGGAGACCUUAUGCAACUUGACCAAGUUCCCAUGGUGGCUAAAAUUAUGUAGUGGAUGCUGUGCUACGCUGACCAGAUGCCACUUUCAGGAUUGAGGGACACAGUCCCCCAGAUGCUGGGGAUGCUCUCAGCUGUUAGCCUCGAGACAUUUCCCUUGGCUGAAGACAGCCUCCUCUCCCAAGGUCUUGACAGCACUCCCUAAUAAACUUCCUGCGUGAUAGAAACAGAGAGGGAGAGAGAGAGAGAGAAAAAGAAAACAGGAAAACAGUACCCUUUCCUGGAUUCUUUACUUCCACCCGCCAGAAAAAUUGUCGAAACAACUAUAUAAAUAUAUGAGUGGGAUUUGGAAGGCGCCCCUUGAAGUUGUGCAGUGUACAACCUGCACAAAGAAGCAGUGGCUCGGUGUCAACCCCAUCUCACUCCUCUGCUUUUGGGGGUCCCCAGCACCAUUCAGCUGGAUUGAUUGACGAGUGUCCACUUGACCUUAACCAGUGCCUGAGCCAGCCUUCACAGGGAGGGAAGCAUGUCAGUUGCCUCAGCCACAUCACACAGUAGAACUUAGAAGUCAUUCCUUGUGUCCACCAGAUCUGGAAGGUGAGAAGCUAGGAGGGAGCUCUGAGGGCUCCCUAGAGACUUUCCCUCCUCAGCUUUGUGGCCUCGAUUUUACUCCUGGCCCUAACACCUUCCCAGAUCGUGCUCAGCUCUUUGGGCAUGAUUCUGUUUCCCCAGCCUCUCUUGGCCCCAAGUCACUCUCUCUCACUUUGGUCUUAAGCUGCUGUAUUUCCCAGAAUGCAUUUUGCCCAUGUCAAAUGUGAAAUAAAGUUCCUGGAAUAUCUGGGAUAUCUGGGAUCAUGCCUGGCAUCUCCUAACACCAACACAAAAGAAGCCCUAUAUGGGGCAAAAUAA
ensembl:lncRNA